rnacentral:tRNA from 2 species
GCGGCUAUGGCGGAAUUGGCAGACGCGGCGGGUUUAGGUCCCGUUGGGAAACCAUGCAGGUUCAAGUCCUGUUAGCCGCA